rfam:Burkholderia glathei strain DSM 50014 contig20, whole genome shotgun sequence.
AAGAAAGUGACUGCUGCCCCGCACAGGGGCGAAGCUAAUAGACCAAUAAGAAAACAAGUUUCAUGGGAGCGCAGGCGCAUCAGACGGUUCAACAAAUACCAAACCCAAGCGCCAGCGGCUC